rnacentral:rRNA from 1 species
CCUACGGGAGGCAGCAGUGAGGAAUAUUGGUCAAUGGACGAGAGUCUGAACCAGCCAAGUAGCGUGAAGGAUGACUGCCCUAUGGGUUGUAAACUUCUUUUAUAUGGGAAUAAAAUGUUCCACGUGUGGGAUUUUGUAUGUACCAUAUGAAUAAGGAUCGGCUAACUCCGUGCCAGCAGCCGCGGUAAUACGGAGGAUCCGAGCGUUAUCCGGAUUUAUUGGGUUUAAAGGGAGCGUAGGUGGAUUGUUAAGUCAGUUGUGAAAGUUUGCGGCUCAACCGUAAAAUUGCAGUUGAAACUGGAAGUCUUGAGUACAGUAGAGGUGGGCGGAAUUCGUGGUGUAGCGGUGAAAUGCUGAGAUAUCACGAAGAACUCCGAUUGCGAAGGCAGCUCACUGGACUGCAACCGACACUGAGGCUCGAAAGUGUGGGUAUCAAACAGGAUUAGAUACCCUAGUAGUC